rnacentral:lncRNA from 1 species
GAGUAUUUAAAGUGGGGAGAAGAUUUAGCAACAGCAGUGAUUCUGAAUAAAGUGUCUCCGUUCUUCUUGCAGUUUGUGUGCUGUCUGACUUCAUCAUGCAGCAAAUCUACACACAGAGCCAUGAAGAGUUUGAGGUGUUCACCACUGUUCUCUCGCCUCAAGGUUAGUCAUCUUUUCUUGCUCACUUUUUAUAUCAUUUCUGUUCAAUUUACAAAUAUUAUAGCAAAAUGAUUAAAUCUUUCAGUUUGUCGGAAGAGAGUGAUAUUCAAGCACCAAGGAGAAAUGGUAACACAUUUUCUCAUUUGAGCUGCAGCAUCAUAUACAGUGGUUUAAACUACAGAGCCGAUGGUGAAGAUAAAAUAUGUUUGUGUGUGUGUGAGGUGGUUGUGACGGCAGACUACAGUGCAGACUGUGAUGAAGAGCUGUGUGUCCGUGCCGGUGAGGUGGUGUUGCUUCUGUAUCAGGAGAAUGCCGACUGGUGUUACGCCCGACUUCAGAACGGAAAGGAAGGAUACCUUCCCACAGCCUGCUUCACUACGAAGCAGGAGCCGUUGAGGCCCAUUGUGGCUCGGGCAUCGCAAAACUUCACGCAAGCGUCGUCUAAUGAUCGGAGUGGCUGUUCUAGGUGAGUAUUAUGAUGUUGUGUAACUCUGAUUUGUUUUUGUGGUGUUGUGUGAUGGCUGAUGUUUGCAUUUCUAGAGGGCGCUCUCUGAAACUGCCACGGCGAGCAUCUCUGUCAGGAGUGCCGGGUUCACCUCGAUUACUUCAGCGACUGCUCUCUCGUCGACGUAGUGAUGGACUUGCUGUACGUUCAAUCGGCUCCAUCAAUCCUGCGUUUCAUCCUGACUGAUGGAUCUAACCCUAGAGCUCCACCUUUCUCUUCUUAAUGGGUCACAGAACAGCAGAAACUAGGACAGUAUGACACCAAAGUUCAGUCUGUAUGCAACUCCUUCAGAUUUGGAGAGAAAACAGAAGUUCAGUGUCCUGAUUAGUUUGGGGCCUCAGUAACUUCAUAGCCAGUUUGUGGCUCUGAGCCUGUAGCUGAUAUCAGGAAUCUUUAAUAUUACUGCCCUAUGUAAAUAUGUAAAUAUUGUGAUUUUGAUUGGAAAUAUCACACUCUUCGCCUAUGAGUGUAUUUGAAUUUUGAAUAGAUGUGUCUGUUUUGACUAAUAAUGCAGAAAGACUACAAUGAGAAAUUGUUAGUUUAUAAAUGUGUAUAUAUAUAUAUAUAUAUAUUUAUAGAUAUAUGCAAUGUUUAUAUUAAAAUGCUAGUGUUGCCAAAGUUAAUAUCAACUCAAAAAAAGUACAUCUACUAAAGAGUCUUAUAUAAGUUGAUUACCAGAGAAAAUUAGUUUGAUGUAUUACAAUUUAUAAAAGCACAGAAAAAAAGAGUUUGCUUACAGAAAUCAUUUACAGUGGACGUACUAUAGAAUAUUAUGGAGUGUACAUUUAGAUUUCCAUUUUAAGAGCAACAUUUUUUUUUGUUUAUUUGACCCUGAAUGUUUUUUUUUAAAUUCUGUACAUUAAAUAAAAAUUAUAUAUCAAUGUAAUUUCAACCACACCUCAGACCAUACCACAAAGUAUCUAAACUAAACUAUUAAUAUUGUUAAUUUAUUUUUUCCAAGUUUGUAAUUUUUUAUGGUAUGAAUACUGGUAAAUUAUGGUGUUUACCCUUAAUUUUUGAUGGGCUUUUUAGCUUGUAUUUAGAGGACAUUGGCAUACAGCUGCAAAAUUUCAUGAAAUGAAAAGUCAAUUUUGUAAUUCACAGCCUGACUAUAAUCAUCAUCACUUCAUCAAGCUUAAGGAGAAAAAUCUCAACACUAAUUUGGUAAUGCAGUACAAUUAGUUUCAAUUUGUGAAUGCAUUAUGUUGCAUGAAAUAACAAUGACCAAUUUUCUACAGAAUUUACUGAAGUUAAUAUAAAUACAUGUACUAUUUACUUCACAUUCGUUUGUAAAACAUUAAAGGGGUCAUAGAUGUUGCUAAAAAAGAACAUUAUUUUGUGUAUUUGGUGUAAUGAAAUGUGUUUAUGCGGUUUAAGGUUAAAAAACAUUAUUUUCCACAUACUGUACAUUAUUGUUUCUCCUCUAUGCCCCGCCUUUCUGAAACGCGUCGAUUUUUACAAAGCAAAACCCAUUAUAAACAAGGCAUUCAUUGCAUCCAGUGGGGACAUAAUUAUGGAUUAUAAUGACUUAUACUGUCUUUUUACGCGUUGCGUUGCAUCGCGCCGCGUAAACAUAAAACCAUGUCUGCAUUUGUGAUCGGAGAAAUGACAAACAACAAGUGCUACACUACGCUGCUCAAAACUCACGUUUGAAUCAACGGUGGCAAAUUCUUUAGAUAUAAAAAACUUACUUACAGACUGUGAGUCAGAACAGCUGGCAUUGUAGUCUACUCUACCAGGAUCAGGAAACAGUCCUCCAUAAAAUGUGCAGCACACAUCUGAAUAUUUGGGUUGAAGUGUUCUGGAACAUUGUUGUAAAUACAACUUAACCACUG